rnacentral:lncRNA from 1 species
AUGACGUAUUUAUAUUAUCGCAACCGAGGUUCAUUUACGAGAGAAGUACAACUAUUUCCCGAUGAAAAGCGAGGUCAAAAUGCCUUGCCCAGGGCCAGGACCCAAGCCCAGGUCCCGACACAGCCAGCUUCCAGGCUCGGAGCAGCACAGACAUGGACAUUGCCUCAAAGACAUCAAGAACCUCCCGAUUCGACUUGGAAAACGAUAAAACAAAAUCGUAAAAACACCGCAUUUCCCUGCUCUGCACGUGAAGCCCUGGAAAGGCAUUUCUCCUGCUCUGGGAUGCUCCGCCAGACCCGACCGACCUGUGCUCAGCUUGACCUUCUCUCCUGGAUGUUUGGGAAAGCAGAGAAAGUCCUGUGACCCUGACCUUUGGUUUUCUUUCUGGACUACACAUUCGGGGCUUUCUAACAAAGUAAAUUGAGAUAAACCCGUCAUCAACUGCGGAAAGGAAGGCUAGGCAGAAAAUAAGUUAUACAUAUGCAUUAAAUAUUAUUUAAUUUGCUAAAGACCAAAUGGGCUGUACAAAAGAUUGCAAGCCAAGGUGAUCUGCGCAAGGUUUCUGCUCCAGCUGUGCACGCCUUUCACCCCUUGGAUUUUUGCUUUUGAUUUGCCGAAUUCCCCAAAGUUAGAAAACAGGACGUACACACACACACACACACACACACACACACAACUUUUUGCACCUCCUUGGGAGUCUAGCUUUUGAUCCGUACCCCUCCCCCCAAAACAUUAGAAGGCCCGAUGUGUAUGGUUUUUCGCACUUUGGGGAAAAAAAGGGAACGGACCAUUGUUACCAGCCUUCAGAAUUCUCUUUAAUGCUAAUAAUUAAGCUCAAAUUCCUUACGAGGUAACACCAUGCUCCAGCACUGGUUCUUGGAAAACAUUUGGAGAGCUCAUCCCUGGACUUGUACGUAACCUUCCCAGCGACCUGCCGGUUGGGGCUGACAGGUUUGUUUUUCUUUCCAUUGAGGUCACGACCAGUAGGUAGAUUUCAAAGGAGGAGAAAUUUGCAAACCCAGGCUUUUAUGUUGUGAACGGUGCUGUGUAAAAUGUUACCAUGUCAACAUAUUUUAAGAAGCAUUCGUUACUUAUUAAGCCUGGGAGAGCUUACGCAAUACUCCUUUACAUUUGUUUGUGGAUUUUAUUGUUUUUAAUGGGGAGUCCUUGAAGCAAGCUACCUGUCACUCAGGACUUAGCCAAGGCUUGUGUGUGUGGCAGCCGGUUAGAUUGAAGCCUGAGAAUUCGUAGGCACGUCAUAAACUGUCUUGGAAAUGAGGAUCGUAGUUUCUUUAUUGGAUUAACUCUGCGGGAUAAAAGAACAUUAGAGAAUACUACUUAAGCUAAUAUAAAAUUACCCCAAAAAUAAUUAUUCUGAGAAUAAAUUAUUCUGGCCAAUAGUCCUCA